GAGUUUGAUCAUGGCUCAGAACGAGCGCUGGCGGCAUGCCUAACACAUGCAAGUCGAACGGGGUCCGGACUUCGGUCCGGUGAGAGUGGCGGACGGGUGAGUAACGCGUGGGAACCUGCCCAAUGGUCUGGGAUAACCGCGGGAAACUGCGGCUAAUACCGGAUAAGCCCGAGAGGGGAAAGAUUUAUCGCCGAUGGAGGGGCCCGCGUCCGAUUAGGUAGUUGGUGAGGUAACGGCUCACCAAGCCGACGAUCGGUAGCUGGUCUGAGAGGAUGAUCAGCCACACUGGGACUGAGAUACGGCCCAGACUCCUACGGGAGGCAGCAGUGGGGAAUAUUGGACAAUGGGGGCAACCCUGAUCCAGCAAUGCCGCGUGAGUGAUGAAGGCCUUAGGGUUGUAAAGCUCUUUUGGCGGGACGAUGAUGACGGUACCCGCAGAAUAAGCCCCGGCUAACUUCGUGCCAGCAGCCGCCGCAGUAAG
rnacentral:rRNA from 1 species